GAAAAAGCCUUCUCUACCUCCUCUCCCCAUGUAGAAUCAUCUCCAGAAACAAAAACCAUCUUAGUGUUAACUCAACAGUAAUUUGUCUCCGUCAGACUUGCGUUUACUUUGAUAAACUUCAUCCAGGAACGUGGAUCAAUGCUGCCUUUUGAUAUAAAGGGCACCAAAAGUUGGGCCAGGCCUUGUCCUGAGGGCGGCGCUGGUUUGCUGAACUGUUUCCGGAUGCUGCCGCUCUGAAGCUUUGGGCGUCCCCUCUGUGGUUCUUUUUUCUGGAUUCCCUGCUUUUCUCAAAGUGCCCUGGAGCCCCCGCAGCUUAAGCUUUCCUGGCCUCUGCUCACCCUGAUCCAUGGACCCUCAGUACUCAGCUCAAGUCCCGCCUCCUCAGGAAACCUCCUGAAACAGGAAAAGUUCCUGUUGGUUAUUCCCUCCUCUGGCUUGAUGCCAAGAGACGAAUGACUGGAAUGCAGGUUCCCAGGUCCUGCACCAGCCCCCUACGAACACAAGGUAUUCCUCGGGACCCUAUGCACAGUGGCUAUGGCAGGUAAUGUGUAAGCUGGGAGCUGGGCUCAGCUGGGACGGCUGGGCCUCCCUCUCCUUGUGUUCUUGCAUCUUGGGCUGCUUCAUGGCCUGGUGGCCUCAGGUUCCGAGGUGGACGACGCAGAGACUACAAGACCUUGUGAGGCCUGGGCUUCAGGACAUGCAUGACGUCACUUCCACCACAUUCUGUUGGUCAACGCAAGUCAAAGACCAGCCCAGAUACAAGAGGUGAGGAAGAGUCCCCAAGAUUUGUGGCCAUAUUUAACCUACCACCUGAGUUUUGAGGCGGUCAGGAGUUUUCCCAGGAGGCAAGGAGCGGUGUAGAGAGGGGGAGGGCACUCCGGGCAGAGGUACGGAGGUGGGAAUAAACAGGACGUGUCUGGGAAAUAUUCCAGGUUUAAUGUGGUUGGAGGGGUAAAUAUUGGGAGUUGAAAGUGCAAAGAUAGAUUGGAGGGAUCCGGAGAAGGGCCUGGAAUGCUAUGCCUGGACUUUUACCUUGAUCCUUUGAAAGUUCCGACAAGUCCAAAUCUGUUUUCGAGUCCAUUAUAGCAGCCCCUGCUGGUAUAGAUGCUGGAGAGGGCAAGACUGGAGGCAGGGAACCCGGUGGGGGUUCUUACGGUGAUCGUGGGAGAGAGGUGAGGCCCAGGUCUGGCAGGGGCCGUCAGAGUGGUAGGGAUGGUGUCCUCCUAGCUUGGUGACUUCCUGGGUAUUCUGUGAAAAUGCUCACCCCUCAGGCUCCUUGUCCUUCUUGCUAAUUUUGAGGGUCCUGGGCAGGGGGGAUGUCUGGAUAAGAGAAGAGUGAGAGACAAGGACGAGGAGGGAAGCGAGUGGUGGGAGGAAGGGGGAGAGUUGGGCAGGGGGCUCGAGGGUAGGCUAGGUUUCAGAUGGAGAUAGCGAGAUAUAUCUGGAGGAUUAGUGAAGCCCAGACUCACUGGCAACUUCAGGGUGGGUGAAGGACAGAAAAAGGAUGGGAACACCAAUUAAAUUUGAGCUAAGUGAGGGCAAGAGUCAGCUCCAGGGAGGGACCUGACCAUAUUCCUCUCCAGACUGACUCAUGGCUGACAGAGAAAGGCUGGCACAGAGCCGACAUCUAUUCGGGUUGGCCAAAUGACUUAUUAUUAUUUUUUUUUUUUGAGGAAGAUUAACCCUCAGCUAACAU